AUUUUAAAACGUGCGGAUGUCUGC
rnacentral:miRNA from 1 species